rnacentral:rRNA from 1 species
UACGUAGGGGGCUAGCGUUGUCCGGAUUUAUUGGGCGUAAAGAGCGUGUAGGCGGCCUGACAGGUCUGCUGUGAAAACUCGAGGCUCAACCUCGAGAUGUCGGCGGAAACCGUCUGGCUAGAGUCCGGAAGAGGAGAGUGGAAUUCCUGGUGUAGCGGUGAAAUGCGCAGAUAUCGGGAGGAACACCGGUGGCGAAGGCGGUUCUCUGGGCCUUACCUGACGCUGAGGAGCGAAAGCGUGGGGAGCAAACAGG